GAUGAACGCUGGCGGCGUGCCUAAUACAUGCAAGUCGAGCGAACGGACGAGAAGCUUGCUUCUCUGAUGUUAGCGGCGGACGGGUGAGUAACACGUGGAUAACCUACCUAUAAGACUGGGAUAACUUCGGGAAACCGGAGCUAAUACCGGAUGAUAUUUUGAACCGCAUGGUUCAAAAGUGAAAGACGGUCUUGCUGUCACUUAUAGAUGGAUCCGCGCUGCAUUAGCUAGUUGGUAAGGUAACGGCUUACCAAGGCAACGAUGCAUAGCCGACCUGAGAGGGUGAUAGGCCACCCUGGAACUGAGACACGGUCCAGAGUCCUACGGGAGGCAGCAGUAGGGAAUCGGCCGCAACGGGCGAAAGCCUGACGGAGCAACGCCGAGUGAGUGAUGAAGGUCUUCGGAUCGUAAAACUCUGUUAUUAGGGAAGAACAUAUGUGUAAGUAACUGUGCACAUCUUGACGGUACCUAAUCAGAAAGCCACGGCUAACUACGUG
rnacentral:rRNA from 1 species